GCAAAGAACCAAAUCCCGCUGCAAGAAUUCAGAAGAAAACAAAUGCGCACAUGAUAUACUCUUCCAAAAUAAGCCCUCAUCUUCCAAUAAGAAAAUUCUUCAUAAAAAAAAUGUGCAGGAAUCCAAAAGGAAAAAUGUUGAAUAAAGUAAGCUGUCCUUUAGAAGAAAAGAUGGGGAAUUCUAUUGGAAAAGAUGAUCACCCUUUUAUAAAGAAAUUCUAUUCAUGCAAAAUGUUGGUCCAAACAGCAAAAAAACAAAAUAAUGGGUCAUAAUUGGCCCAUUUGUGAUAGGAAGGAAGAAAAUGAUGAAGAGAAGAAACCCAACUCGGUGUUAUCACCAUGUUCCAAUCUGAGGAUUCAAUAGUAUCAAGACAAAGUACAAUUAACAAAGUAAUGAAAAAUGAAGGAUGAUACAGUGUAGAAUAAGAAAAUCCCAGGUAAGAAUUAACCACAGUUGAAGUAAACAAUCCGGCAACACAACACUCUUCGCUGUUCUAGGCAGAUCAAAAUACCUUAAUGGCUAAGUUCUAAGCAGGUGAAACCACCUAAUGCUAACAGCAAAUAGCUUGUGCAAUAAUACAGCUUCUGACACAAACAAUUACUGAUUUGCUGCUUUGCGAGGCAACUUAAAACUAGGACACUAAUUCUGUGAAAAGGUACCUUUAUUUUUUCACGUUUAAUAAU
rnacentral:misc_RNA from 1 species